GACGAACGCUGGCGGCGUGCUUAACACAUGCAAGUCGAGCGGUAAGGCCCUUUCGGGGGUACACGAGCGGCGAACGGGUGAGUAACACGUGGGUGACCUGCCCUCAGCUCUGGGAUAAGCCCGGGAAACUGGGUCUAAUACCGGAUAUGACUCCAUGACGCAUGUUGUGGGGUGGAAAGCCUUGUGCGGCUGAGGAUGGGCCCGCGGCCUAUCAGCUUGUUGGUGGGUGAUGGCCUACCAAGGCGACGACGGUAGCCGGCCUGAGAGGGCGACCGGCCACACUGGGACUGAGACACGGCCCAGACUCCUACGGGAGGCAGCAGGUGGGGAAUC
rnacentral:rRNA from 1 species